AGUGAACGCUGGCGGCGUGCUUAACACAUGCAAGUCGAAGAUAGUGGCGAACGGGUGAGUAAUACGUGGGUAACCUGCCCUCCUUUUUGGGCUAAGCCUUGGAAACGGGGUCUAAUACCGACUAAAGGGGGAUGGGCUAGCGGCCUAUCAGUUUGUUGGUGGGGUGGUGGGCUACCAAGGCGGUGACGGGUAGCCGGCCUGAGAGGGUGACCGGGCACAUUGAGACGGAGAUACGGCCCAGACUCCUACGGGAGGGAGAAGUGGGGGAUAUUGCACAAUGGGCGAUGGACUGAUGCAGCGACGACGCGUGGGGGAUGAAGGCUUUCGGGUUGUAUCCCCCUUUCGCUAGCGAACGGGUAGUUGGAGAAGAAGCGCCGGCUAACUACGUGCCAGCAGCCGCGGUAAUAC
rnacentral:rRNA from 1 species